rnacentral:sRNA from 1 species
GUCCUCACGGGGAAGGAUGAGAAGCUUCGACUAAGGUUCGAUUCGAGCGGAAGCGAGAAAGCGUUGCCGAAGGCAACGACCCGAAGGGCGAGGCGCAACGCGCCGAGUCAUCCUUCCCCCACCACCA